AAAGAGAGUAGCAGUUUUCAACCAAAAUCAGUAAGUGAAACAAUUCAUUGUUAUGAUGUUGGCUGGGGCAGAACCCGAUGAGGCUAAAUCUUGGGUGUAAUCGGUCAUUGAUCGCCUUCACUCUAUCUCUCACAUAGACCAACAUGCGCUUGUCCAAGAAGAAAAAAAGGUCUUGGUUCAAGGAUGUUGAGAGUAUAUGAUUGUGAAUUGAUUUCAUGAAUGUUGCCUAACCUUUCGAAAAACUGAUCGCAUUUGGACGAGUCAGCCCUUUUCUAGCCUAACACACACAUCAUGAUACUUUGAAUUUUCUUCUGUAUAUCUUGUUGUUCAAACUGGUUGACUCUCUGGAGUUUCAAUCUCCACUAGUCUUGGCUGUUUAAUUAUAAAAUGUGCGACUUUUGGGAAAGUCAACUCCACGAGAUAACUAAAGGCACCAUGAACUUCAUCAUUUCCUUCUGCUUUUGCCUCUGCAUUUCUCUCUUGCCCUCCUUUGGAACCCCCGCUGUGUUGUUUUAGGGGUUCAAUUGGCAUUCAAGUAAAAAAGGAGGGUGGUACAACUCACUCAAGACCUCCAUUCUUGAACUUGCUGACUCUGGCAUCACCCAUGUCUGGCUUCCUCCUCCUCACGCUAAUGGAACCGAGGGUAUUUACUAGCUACUAGCCUAUCACUAUCUCUGUAUAAUCGCACUUAUUUGUUUAAUAAUCCCAAGAUUCUACCCGGAAGGCUAUACUAUCUCGAUGCAUCGAGCUAUGGAAAUAAGGAUGAAUUGAAGUCCCUAUUUACUGCCAUGCAUGAGAAGGGAAUCAAAGCCAUAGCAGACAUUGUGAUAAACCACAGAGCAGCUGUCAAACAAGAUGAGAACGGACUAUGGAGAAUAUUCGAAGGUGGAAAGCCGGAUGGACGUCUUGACUUCGAUGCCUCCUUGAUUUGCCGGGAUGACAAUGACCACCCUUUUGGCACUGGCAACCCGGACACAGUAGACAACUUCCCGUUCACAGCUGACAUGGACCACACAAACCCUAGCUUCAAAGCGAGUUGUCUGAUUGGAUGAUUUGGUUGAAAACUGAAAUAGGGUUUGAUGGAUGGAGGUUUGAUUAUGCGAUUGGGUACGGCUCUAGCUUAACCAAUCUCUACAUGGACAGAACUUUGCCGGCAUUCGCAGUUGCCGAGUACUGGCGUUGGAACAUUUCGAAGGGGCAGGACGGCAAACUAGAUCAGAACCAAGAUGCACAUAGGAAAUUAGGAAUGAAAUAGUUAGUUGGAUUCAGGUAGUGGGGGUGUUGUCACGACGUUUGAUAUGACAACCAAAUAUUUUAUGGAUGUUGCUGUAGAGGGUGAGCUAUGGAGGCUAAAGGAUUCAAAUGGCAAACCACCAGGGUUGAUCGGCAUCAAGCCAGAAAGUGCUGUGACAUUUAUCGACAAUCAUGACACUUGGUCUCAAAACUAUUGCCUUUCCCAUCUGAUAAAGUCCUGCUUGGAUAUGCUUACACUCUCACCCAUCCUGGCACCCCAAGCAUAUUCUAUGAUCACUUCUUUGAGUGGGGGUGGCCGAAGGACCCUAUACGCAAUUUGACAGCAAUUAGGGCAAGGAAUGGGAUCAAUUCCAAGAGCAGUGUGACUAUCUUAGCUGCCGAGGGUGACCUAUAUAUGGCCAACAAACAUCGACGACAAGAUGGUAAUGAAGAUUGGGCCAAGGUUGGACCUCGGAGACCUUGAUCCCACAAACUCAAACUUCCAUGUUGCCAGCAGUGGGGACGACUUUGCUGUGUGGGGGAGAAACUGAACUCGAAAAAGAUUGUUAAAAUGAUGUAUAAACGUUCUUAGCCAAUUGAGUUAUAAACCCCAGCUCGUAGUUCAAACAAUUAUGUUGAUAGAUCGUCGGUUCUAGUUAGCUCGUCCAGAAAUGGAACAUUUGAACUUGGGACAUUUAAACUAGUUUAUUCCUCCUAAACGAUAUUAUAAUUA